rnacentral:rRNA from 1 species
UACGUAGGUGGCAAGCGUUGUCCGGAAUCAUUGGGCGUAAAGAGCGCGUAGGCGGCCCAGUAAGUCCGCUCUGAAAGUCAGAGGCUCAACCUCUGAAUGCGGGUGGAUACUGCUGGGCUAGAGUCCGGAAGAGGCGAGUGGAAUUCCUGGUGUAGCGGUGAAAUGCGCAGAUAUCAGGAAGAACACCAAUGGCGAAAGCAGCUCUCUGGGACGGUACUGACGCUGAGACGCGAAAGCGUGGGGAGCGAACAGG